UAAAAAAGCUGCUCAGUAGGUAUGAAGAAGAUUGCUUGGGUAUAGCUGCAUAAGAAGAGCCCUUUUGCUGAUUCGGAUCCCUUCCUUCAGAGGUUGUUUGUAGGUUAAUAUUUCAAAACAUGGCUUUAUCAGUGGACAUGGAGCCCACGAAUGGAGACAGAGCCGAUCAAGUGGCUGAUUUGAUUGUGUUGUGCUACCACAGAGGAUAGGGCGAAUUACACGGGAUGAUCCGUGGAGCAGCUACUCCCCCGCCCGGAAUCCAGCUUUUACCUUCUCGACCCUAAACUGAUGGGAGGAAGCGAUUCGCCCCCCACCCCAACCUAGGAACAAAUGACGCCCCCAGAAGAAACAAGCGGACCCAGGUACCCUCGGAGAAGCGGCCAGACCACGAGAAACGAGAAGGAGCGAACCGGCCAAGUCUCCGAUCAUGCGGGGCGGCGGUCCAUGUUCAAUAGCGAAUCCGCCCUUUUCCCGGCGGAACGACUCGGUUGGGUCCCCGGCUCUCGGAUACCGCCGUAGCCAGGGAGAGCAGGCUGCCUCCGAAAAGCAUCACGGAGUGAUGUUUUCCAAGCUGUGGCUUCGCCUUUGAUAUAUCAAGAGGUUGUUGCUGCUUAAGGAAACUACAAAUCCCAGCACGUCCUCAUGUCUUGGUUUCCCGGGAUGAAAUGUCUUAGAAAUCGAACAAGUUGAAAUAUAAGAUCCAUGAAGCCAUACGUCCUUUUCCGCUUCCUGCUUUACUUCGCUUUCCUGACUACGGAAACACAGAGGAGUCAAUACUCUUCCGCUGCGCGGUGCUGGAGUCAACUAGCUGAAGAGCCAAAAAGCGUUAGCGAUCAAGGCACUCCUGAUUGGCGGAACCAUGCAUAGCUGAGACCGCGGAGAUACAGCAAGGAGAAACCUAUGGAAAGUAAUGAAGAAAUGUGCAUAAAGGACAGGAUUUUGAGUAAAUAAAAUUAACUUUGGGAUUAUGAA